CUUAACUUGACUAUUUCAUGCAUCAUUGUAUUCUCUGAAACAACAGAUUACAUCUUAAUCCUGCUCACAUUCUUAAGAUGAGGACUCCAUUUGGGAGGAGAACCUUCCACGGAAAAGUCUGGACCACACAUGUCCAACCAGUCCUUUGCCAUGUGCUUCAUGGAGCACGCAACCAUUGGCCAAUGUUAUUGACAUUACUGCUUGGUUAA
rnacentral:lncRNA from 1 species